rnacentral:misc_RNA from 1 species
ACACCCUCAAGCUCUGCUUGGUGUUGGGCGUCUGUCCAGCCGACUCGGCGCGGACUCGUCCUAAAAAUAUUGGCAGCGGUCCUAACCAGCCUCUCGCGCAGCAGUUCGCGCUUCUCGAGGAACAAGGGGAGGUCGCGUCCACGAAGCUUACUUUAUG